GGCGGACGUAGCCAAGUGGAUAA
rnacentral:tRNA from 1 species